rnacentral:rRNA from 1 species
GACGAACGCUGGCGGCGUGCCUAAUACAUGCAAGUAGAACGCACAGUUUAUACCGUAGCUUGCUGCACCAUAAACUGUGAGUUGCGAACGGGUGAGUAACGCGUAGGUAACCUGCCUGGUAGCGGGGGAUAACUAUUGGAAACGAUAGCUAAUACCGCAUAAUAUUGAUUAUUGCAUGAUAAUUGAUUGAAAGAUGCUAUUGCAUCACUACCAGAUGGACCUGCGUUGUAUUAGCUAGUAGGUGAGGUAACGGCUCACCUAGGCGACGAUACAUAGCCGACCUGGGAGGGUGAUCGGCCACACUGGGACUGAGACACGGCCCAGACUCCUACGGGAGGCAGCAGUAGGGAAUCUUCGGCAAUGGACGAAAGUCUGACCGAGCAACGCCGCGUGAGUGAAGAAGGUUUUCGGAUCGUAAAGCUCUGUUGUAAGAGAAGAACGGGUGUGAGAGUGGAAAGUUCACACUGUGACGGUAUCUGACCAGAAAGGGACGGCUAACUACGUG